CUUCCCUUACCCUUCCCUUCCCUUCCCUUCCCUUCCCUUCCCUUCCCUUCCCUUCCCCGCCGCAGACGCUCGCUCCGUCCCCGCUCGGCCCCGCUGCCCCCUCAGCCGCCGAGGCCCCGCGCUCCCGCCGUUCUGAGGUUUCCUCACGAAACCUGCCCCGCGUACGGCUCCCGCUUCGGUUCCCGCUCCGUGUCUUCAUUCAGCUCCUUCCUCGCUGCGUCCCACACCCACCCUGAUGCGGUUUGCUCACUAUUACACUGACCGACCCCCUGAUCUCACAUAAAGCUGAGAGCGAAGAUGUGCGGAGCUCCAGGCUGGUGAGUCUCACCCCGAUCCCUGGCAAGGCGACAGAGCCCAGAACCCCUGGAGCCGCUUCCAAACACAGCGAGGACAAGCAGGUGUCUGGGUUCUGCCAGCACAGCCUACUGGGAAACAGCAGCAUUUCCUGUGAGGGAAAAGAAUGGAGAGGAGCCAGGAAUGAAUAAGCAGCCUUAUUGCAUUGUGGAUCAUAAAACCUCUUCCUAUGAAAGAGUCAGAGAAGAAGAGGAAGUGAAAACACGUGAGGAGAACAACAUGGAGACACCAAGGUCAGUGGGAAGAAGUGCUUCAAGCAUGGGAGCCCAGAUUACUCUGCAGGCUGUGGUAAAGACUGUUAAAACAAACUGUUGCCCCGUAAUGCAUGAACACCUCUAAAAUCACAGGCACAUUGACAUUCCUCAGGAAGUUUCCACAAAAAAGCAGUCCAAGGACUUCCCAGAGGAUCACCAGAAAAGAUGCAGAAGCCUCAAAUACCUGAAGGAACACAGCCUUGACCAAACUGCUGCAUCCUCAACAGAGGGAAGGAGGGAGAUGCCUCUUCUGUGGAAGAGGAAAGGAGAAUGAGAGAAGAGGGAAGAUAGAGGUCUCAAAAAUAGGUUCCAAUUCCCAGGAGGACCCAAGGCACCCAGCACUCGUGGUCAGGCACCAAUGUUCUCCACAACAGUGGCUUUGAAUCUGGAGAAGCAGGAGGUCAGGACCAGCACUGCUCUCUGGGAGCCCAAACUGCCUCAUCUCACAUGCCCAGAGGACCUAUGGGCUCCCCAUUGCUCCAACCAUGCAGUCCUGAGCAACUAUUGCCUAUUUUUCAUCUCUGUAGGAAAUGGAACUGAGGACAUUAUUCUUUGCUGAAACAUUCUGGAAAGUCAUAGCUGAAAUCCCUCACUUGUCUCUUCCAUCUGUUUAUUUUUACCACUUAAUAACAUGUCUGUCUCCUCAACUAUUCCUGACACUGUGACAAGAAAAUCCAACUCAUUGAAGACAGCUUUAUCAAAGAGACAUUAGCUCUUCCUUGCUGUGUGACACCACGUCAGCUCUUCUCCUGUGCAUGAAGUCUGGUCUGUAAUUUCAAAGUGUGUCUUCUAUCUCUUUGAGGGGGUGAUAUGACCAAUAUACUUGAAAUUGUUGCUUGUUAUGCAAAAGGUUAUCCAAACUGUGAAGAUAACAAGCAAUUUCAAGCACUUCAAGGAGCCUCCUUUUUUUGAUGUUUUUAUCUUCAAUGCCACACGAUGUUACAGACCUAAUUUCAAGAGAUUAAUAACAAUGACAAAACAGUCAUUGAAAUAAUCUGUGAUAGAGGACUGAACUCUGGGACAACAUGAAAAGUCUGUGCUAUCAAUAAUUUCUCACCAUUAAUAAGAAAAUCGUGGUCUGAAAGCUUCACUGUGACACCAGACCUGCUCCUGCCUCUGCUUUCCAAAGAGAUGCCCCAGGUCUCUGCAGAGGCUCCUAAAUGAAGGUCAGCAGUGCCAAUCUCCUUAUGAGUCAUCUUGGGUUUAUUAGCUUGACAGUGGAUGGCUUCACUCACCCUUUUUGUUUCAAACUGUGCUCCUGGUUUCAUUCCUGAACCAUCCAUCUGAUGGGGAGGCCUGGAAGAACUGAAUCUGAACCAUCUGAUAUUUUCAAAUGAACUGUUUUACCACUUUUUCCUUAUUUUCUUGCCCUGCCAUGAGUUUUGAAUACAGAUAAGCUAAACCAAUGUCCUUAUUUGCUUUUUGGAAAGGGAGAAGGGAUAUUUCAUUGAUACAGAGUCUUGAAACUCCCAGUUUGGUGUUCAGAAUCAGAACACAUGCACUCUUCUGGGUGUAUUCUGGUAGCACAAGCACAGCAUUGGUUGGGAGGGACAUAAUCCAACAUUCUGUUGGAUGCAGGACAGUUGCCAGCACUGGGAGAGAGGAGAGCAGAGCUGUGGAUGUCUCCAUGUGCAAAACAUGAUGGAUAAAGGCCAUCUGUGACACACUGGCUGUGAGAGCAGCACCUGGAUUUAAUGAUUCCCUCCUCACUAGUACUGAGCCCACGUCUCCCAUCACUGUGCUCAGAGGAAGCUGACUUCCAGUACCUGGUGUUCCAGAAGUGAUCCUUAGCUAAUGAAAGCAACCCUCAGCAUUUCAGAAAACAGGUGAUUCCCACAUCAUAUCAGUUCACAAGAUCAUUCUCUUCACUCCUUGUUCACAUGAAAGGCAGCAUUAACUUCCAGAGAACAUGAUAACCUCCUUCCUUCUCUGGGAGUGAACAGUCCUUGAAUGCCUUUGGGAUCUCUCCUGCCUGUAUCAGAAGCCACUUCCAAAAACUAGGGAAAGAAGUCCAAAACUAUAUUGUUGAAUCUUGGAAUUUCCCUGUGUGUCCCUCUACACGUUUUAUUACACUGUGAGCAUAUUCCAUCAACAGCACCACACACUCUGCCCUGUAAUGGGGAGCAGGAAAUGAUCUUGCAGGUUCUGUACAUCAUGGAAAUCUUCCUAAUGUUGAAAAUAAGAGUAAAUUCAGACUUACUCCUGUGGGGGAAUGUCAGUGGAUACUGCUGGGAACCAGGGAAAAAGAAGCCUUGAGGCCUUGCCUUUCUCAGGCCUUUACAAGGUCAACAAAUUAUAACAAUUAUACACCUGCAGGGUGUGUGAGAAACGUGAUGUUUUGUAAAAGUAUGUUUUGAGAGAGGUGUUGCCUUCUUGGACCAAUGAGGAUUUUCUAUUCUUUUGCAUGAACUACCCUUUAUAUAUGUGUGGUGUUUCUUCACAUAAAGCUCUCUUCUCUCUUGCUUCUCCAUUACAUGAGGAGCUAUGUUGCAUUAUCCUUUUCCCACUCCUAUAGCCUUAAAAUGCAACAAGGGAGAAGGAUUUUUUCCAAGAAGAUAGAAAGAGUUAAGUGAGCUGGUAAAUUAAAUUACUCAAUAUCGCCCCAUAAUGAAUUUUUUUCCCCCCAGAAAUGACUCCUGAAAUGAAGGACCUGUCUUGUGUUUCUUUCUCUCUUGGGCUGGGGCUGGAGUGUGGCUGAUUUGAGACAAAUCCACCUUUUCCUUCCUUUGAUCACAGAAAUGCCAACUGAAUACAAACCUUUGGGAAUCUGCUGCCAACAGAAGGGUGCCAGGCUGGGAUGGAUCUGCCAGUGCACAUGUAACACACCUACUGACUGCACUUGGGCUCAGGACUUUCAGUAACAGACUAAAAUGGCAUUUUCAAGACUCCAUGAUUUCUCUGAUUUUCACUGCCUUGUUUUCUCAAUCCUUUUGGAUACACUUGCCUUGUUUUGUCAGAAACUGCCAAACCUCAGCAAAGGAGCCAAGAACUGCAUCCCAAAUGAAUUCUGUAGCACAAGAACAUAGGCUGUUGUUCAAGGUCCUUCCCUUUGACAUAUCUGCCCUAGCAGAGAGGAAAAGAAGGGCAUCUAUCUAAAAAUAAAAUUAUUGAAUAUUUA